CCUGUUUGUAAGUGGGGGUUGUCCUCCUUGCUCAUAAAAAAGAAGAAGAGCUUUUCACGAAUAAAAAGGUCCAGGAAAGCGAAGGAAGAAAGUAAUACAUGGGCCCAACCCAACUGCCCCAAUCCUAGUAGUAGUGAAGUGAGAAGGCUCAUCUCCAACAAUUGCGUAUGAGAGAGAGAGAGAGUGUGUGUGGUGAAUGGAAACGUCUUCUUCCGCCUGCUAACUCUAUAACCGCCUACUAGUCUCAUCACAUCAGUCUAGGAUCUCCAUCAUCUCCUUCAUCUCCUCUCCUCCAACCAAUUUGUUUAAUUUCAGUUACAAUUACAUUACAUACCAGUCAGUCAGUCAAUAGACAAAGCAAAGACAUCUGCUCUGCUCGUAUUUUUACUUGGAAAGACAACAACGAAGAAGAAAAGAGAUCAGAUAUCAGAAGAGAUGGGUGCGACUAAGGCAGCUGUUGGAGACACUGUGCUCACCUUCUUGUGGAUUUCCUGCGCAUCGACGCUUGGACUAGCCACCAGCUUCAUCGCAAAUGCCGUUGGGGUUCAGGACCUUUCAUGGCCGCCUCUCUUCAUCACCACCGCCCUUGUCUUCGUCCUUGUAUUUGUCUUCA